GAACGAACGCUGGCGGCAUGGAUUAGGCAUGCAAGUCGAACGAAGCAGCAAUGCUUAGUGGCGCAAGGGUGAGGAACACGUGAGUGACUUACCCGCAAGUUUGGAACAGCUCCUGGAAACGGGAAUUAAUACCGGAUGUGAUCAUAUUACUGCAUGGUGAUAUGAUUAAAGCAGCGAUGCGCUUGCGGAUGGGCUCGCGUCCCAUUAGCUAGUUGGUGAGGUAACGGCCCACCAAGGCCAUGAUGGGUAGCUGGUCUGAGAGGACGACCAGCCACACUGGGACUGAGAACUGCCCAGACUCCUACGGGAGGCUGCAGUCGAGAAUUUUGGGCAAUGGACGAAAGUCUGACCCAGCAAUGCCGCGUGCGGGAUGAAGGUCUUCGGAUUGUAAACCGCUGUUUGGAGGGACGAAAAUUGACGGUACUUCCAGAGGAAGCCACGGCUAACUACGUGCCAGCCGCCGC
rnacentral:rRNA from 1 species